UACGUAGGCAGCGAGCGUUUGUUCGGAGUUACUGGGCGUAAAGGGUGUGUAGGCGGUCCUCUAAGUUUGGUGUGAAAUCUCCCGGCUCAACCGGGAGGGUGCGCCGAAAACUGGGGGGCUAGAGUGCGGGAUGGGUAAGUGGAAUUCCUGGUGUAGCGGUGAAAUGCGUAGAUAUCAGGAGGAACACCUGUGGUGUAGACGGCUUACUGGACCGCAACUGACGCUGAGACACGAAAGCGUGGGUAGCAAACAGG
rnacentral:rRNA from 1 species